rnacentral:rRNA from 1 species
AGAGUUUGAUCAUGGCUCAGAUUGAACGCUGGCGGCAGGCCUAACACAUGCAAGUCGAACGGUAACAGGAAGCAGCUUGCUGCUUCUCUGACGAGUGGCGGACGGGUGAGUAAUGUCUGGGAAACUGCCUGAUGGAGGGGGAUAACUACUGGAAACGGUAGCUAAUACCGCAUAACGUCGCAAGACCAAAGAGGGGGACCUUCGGGCCUCUUGCCAUCGGAUGUGCCCAGAUGGGAUUAGCUUGUUGGUGGGGUAACGGCUCACCAAGGCGACGAUCCCUAGCUGGUCUGAGAGGAUGACCAGCCACACUGGAACUGAGACACGGUCCAGACUCCUACGGGAGGCAGCAGUGGGGAAUAUUGCACAAUGGGCGCAAGCCUGAUGCAGCCAUGCCGCGUGUAUGAAGAAGGCCUUCGGGUUGUAAAGUACUUUCAGCGGGGAGGAAGGGAGUAAAGUUAAUACCUUUGCUCAUUGACGUUACCCGCAGAAGAAGCACCGGCUAACUCCGUGCCAGCAGCCGCGGUAAUACGGAGGGUGCAAGCGUUAAUCGGAAUUACUGGGCGUAAAGCGCACGCAGGCGGUUUGUUAAGUCAGAUGUGAAAUCCCCGGGCUCAACCUGGGAACUGCAUCUGAUACUGGCAAGCUUGAGUCUCGUAGAGGGGGGUAGAAUUCCAGGUGUAGCGGUGAAAUGCGUAGAGAUCUGGAGGAAUACCGGUGGCGAAGGCGGCCCCCUGGACGAAGACUGACGCUCAGGUGCGAAAGCGUGGGGAGCAAACAGGAUUAGAUACCCUGGUAGUCCACGCCGUAAACGAUGUCGACUUGGAGGUUGUGCCCUUGAGGCGUGGCUUCCGGAGCUAACGCGUUAAGUCGACCGCCUGGGGAGUACGGCCGCAAGGUUAAAACUCAAAUGAAUUGACGGGGGCCCGCACAAGCGGUGGAGCAUGUGGUUUAAUUCGAUGCAACGCGAAGAACCUUACCUGGUCUUGACAUCCACRGAASUUUYCAGAGAUGAGAAUGUGCCUUCGGGAACYGUGAGACAGGUGCUGCAUGGCUGUCGUCAGCUCGUGUUGUGAAAUGUUGGGUUAAGUCCCGCAACGAGCGCAACCCUUAUCCUUUGUCGUCGUAGUCCGGAUUGGAGUCUGCAACUCGACUCCAUGAAGUCGGAAUCGCUAGUAAUCGUGGAUCAGAAUGCCACGGUGAAUACGUUCCCGGGCCUUGUACACACCGCCCGUCACACCAUGGGAGUGGGUUGCAAAAGAAGUAGGUAGCUUAACCUUCGGGAGGGCGCUUACCACUUUGUGAUUCAUGACUGGGGUGAAGUCGUAACAAGGUAACCGUAGGGGAACCUGCGGUUG